rnacentral:lncRNA from 1 species
CUACUUUAAUGAUUAGUUGCUGGUUUAGUUUUAUUAUGCCAACUUACAAUCUUGGUUUUCAAAUGAGUAAGUAUUCUUGUUGAAGGUAAAUCAAGGAAAGCAAUUCAGAUGCACAAAGUUUCUUAUGAUUUAUUUUUUAUUUUAUAAAUUAAUUUUGUCUUUGUUUUCUGAAAUGCUCUCAAGGUAUCAGAAGAAAAUGAUUAAUUCGUAAACAAUAAUUUUAACAUAAAC